UACGUAGGGGGCGAGCGUUGUCCGGAAUUACUGGGCGUAAAGGGCGCGUAGGCGGUCAAUUAAGUCAGAUGUGAAAUACCCAGGCUUAACUUGGGGGGUGCAUUUGAAACUGGAUGACUUGAGUGCAGGAGAGGAAAGUGGAAUUCCUAGUGUAGCGGUGAAAUGCGUAGAUAUUAGGAGGAACACCAGUGGCGAAGGCGACUUUCUGGACUGCAACUGACGCUGAGGCGCGAAAGCGUGGGGAGCAAACAGGAUUAGAUACCCUGGUAGUCCACGCCGUAAACGAUGGAUACUAGGUGUAGGGGGUAUCGACCCCCCCUGUGCCGGAGUAAACACAAUAAGUAUCCCGCCUGGGGAGUACGGCCGCAAGGUUGAA
rnacentral:rRNA from 1 species